rnacentral:piRNA from 1 species
UCCACAUUCGUCACAGAUAUAGUUCCGCACC